UGGUUCUGGCAUCGAUGAAGAACGCAGCGAAAUGCGAUAAGUAAUGUGAAUUGCAGAAUUCAGUGAAUCAUCGAAUCUUUGAACGCACAUUGCGCCCGCCAGUAUUCUGGCGGGCAUGCCUGUUCGAGCGUCAUUUCGACCCUCAAGCCCCUCUGGGCUUGGCGUUGGGGAUCGGCCCCCCCCGGGAGGCCGGCCCCGAAAUGCAUUGGCGGUCACGCCGCGGCGUCCUCUGCGUAGUAGCACACCUCGCACUGGGACGCGGCGCGGCCACGCCGUAAAGCGGACGCGAGUCCAAACACCUGAAGUUUGACCUCGGAUCAGGUAGGAAUACCCGCUGA
rnacentral:misc_RNA from 1 species